rnacentral:rRNA from 1 species
UACGGAGGGUGCAAGCGUUAUCCGGAUUCACUGGGUUUAAAGGGUGUGUAGGCGGGUAUUUAAGUCAGUGGUGAAAUCUCCAGGCUCAACCUGGAAACUGCCAUUGAUACUAUUAUCUUGAAUUAUUGUUGAGGUAGGCGGAAUAUAUCAUGUAGCGGUGAAAUGCUUAGAUAUGAAUAUAGAACACCGAUUGCGAAGGCAGCUUACUAAACAAUCAUUGACGCUGAGGCACGAAAGCGUGGGGAGCAAACAGG